rnacentral:rRNA from 17 species
AAACCAACAGGGAUUGCCUUAGUAGCGGCGAGCGAAGCGGCAAGAGCUCAGCUUUGGAAUCGCUUCGGCGAGUUGUAGAGUGAAGCCAGUAGCUGGAAACCACACACGUUCAAGUUUCUUGGAACAGAACACCAUAGAGGGUGAGAGUCCCGUUGGAUGUGAUGUCGGUGCCCAUGUAGUUACUGUGCAGCGAGUCGAGUUGUUUGGGAAUGCAGCUCUAAGUGGGUGGUAAACACCAUCUAAGGCUAAAUACCGGCGAGAGACCGAUAGCGAACAAGUACAGUGAUGGAAAGAUGAAAAGCACUUUGAAAAGAGAGUGAAACAGCACGUGAAAUUGUUGAAAGGGAAGGGCUUGCAAUUAGACCCAUUUAUGGGACCAGCA